UACGGAGGGUGCAAACGUUGCUCGGAAUCACUGGGCGUAAAGCGCACGUAGGCGGAUCUUUAAGUCAGGGGUGAAAUCCUGGAGCUCAACUCCAGAACUGCCUUUGAUACUGGGGAUCUCGAGUCCGGGAGAGGUGAGUGGAACUGCGAGUGUAGAGGUGAAAUUCGUAGAUAUUCGCAAGAACACCAGUGGCGAAGGCGGCUCACUGGCCCGGUACUGACGCUGAGGUGCGAAAGCGUGGGGAGCAAACAGG
rnacentral:rRNA from 1 species